rnacentral:sRNA from 1 species
UUUUAUUGACUAAUUUUGAUCUUUCUAUAAUUCAGAUGUGCAAGAAUUCCAAAGGGCUAUAAUGGUGAAAUCUGUUUGGAUAAUUUUAAGAUUCCCAAUGCACACCUUCAAAGUUUCAUUAUUUACAACAAGACCAGUCCUGAGCCUAUCUAUGUGUAUAGAGAUGGUCAAGGUAUCCAGAAUGUUGAUUAUGUCCUGUAUGUGACAUCACAGACAACUGAAUACUGCAAUCCCUAUAAAGCAUCUGCUAUUGCUUAUGCCUCAGCCUGUCAAUUAGAUGGUGUGGAUCGACCUUUAGCUGGUCAGGUCAACUUUUGCCCUAGAACUGUCAAAGCUCAGAAGUUUGAUCAGGAAGUUCUCUACAAGGUUUACUUGUUGACAUUUUUUUUCCUUUAUUUUAGAAAAUGUUUCCUUUUACCCUCAGAUGCUAUGAAUACGAUAUACAAUUACACCUACUCUAUGUAAACUAUAAAAUAGCUUAUGAUAGAU